UGAGGAAUAUUGGUCAAUGGGCGAGAGCCUGAACCAGCCAAGUCGCGUGAAGGAAGACAGUCCUAAGGAUUGUAAACUUCUUUUAUACGGGAAUAACGGGCGAUACGAGUAUUGCAUUGAAUGUACCGUAAGAAUAAGCAUCGGCUAACUCCGUGCCAGCAGCCGCGGUAAUACGGAGGAUGCGAGCGUUAUCCGGAUUUAUUGGGUUUAAAGGGUGCGUAGGUUGUUCGGUAAGUCAGCGGUGAAACCUGAGCGCUCAACGUUCAGCCUGCCGUUGAAACUGCCGGGCUGGAGUUCAGUGGCGGCAGGCGGAAUUCGGGGUGUAGCGGUGAAAUGCAUAGAUAUCACGAGGAACUCCGAUUGCGAAGGCAGCUUGCCAUACUGCGACUGACACUGAAGCACGAAGGCGUGGGUAUCAAACAGG
rnacentral:rRNA from 1 species